AUUGAACGCUAGCGGGAUGCCUUACACAUGCAAGUCGAACGGAGUGGCGAACGGGAGAGUAAUGUAUCGGAACGUGCCCAGUAGCGGGGGAUAACUACGCGAAAGCGUAGCUAAUACCGCAUACUAUUGGAGCCGCCGCUAUCGGAAUGGCUAGUUGGUGGGGUAACGGCUCACCAAGGCGACGAUCCGUAGCUGGUUUGAGAGGACGACCAGCCAACCUGGGAAGGAGAAAAGGCCCCAGCGCCUACGGUAGUCAGCAGGUGGGAAGUUGGAACAGUGGGGGAAGCCCUGAUGCAGGCAAGCCGCGUGUGCGAUGAAGGACUACAGGUAGUAAAGCACUUUUGGCUGGAAAGCGGUACCUGCAGAAUAAGCACCGGCUAACUACGUGCCAGCAGCCGCGGUAAUAC
rnacentral:rRNA from 1 species